AACGAACGCUGGCGGCGUGCCUAACACAUGCAAGUUGUGCGAGAAAGUUCCUUCGGGAGCGAGUAAAGCGGCGCACGGGUGAGUAACACGUAGGUAACCUGCCCCCCAGUCUGGAACAACUAGAGGAAACUCUAGCUAAUGCCGGAUGAGACCACGAUCCCUUCGGGGGUUGCGGCCAAAGAUGGCCUCUACUUGUAAGCUAUCGCUGAGGGAUGGGCCUGUGGGCCAUUAGCUUGUUGGUGAGGUAACGGCUCACCAAGGCUGUGAUGGCUAGCUGGUCUGAGAGGAUGACCAGCCACACUGGGACUGAGACACGGCCCAGACUCCUACGGGAGGCAGCAGUGGGGAAUAUUGCGCAAUGGGCGAAAGCCUGACGCAGCGACGCCGCGUGGGUGAUGAAGGCCUUCGGGUCGUAAAGCCCGUCGCAGGGGAGAAUAAGCAUCGGUAUAAUACG
rnacentral:rRNA from 1 species